GGGGCUGUAGCUCAGUCUGGCAGAGCACCUCGUUCGCAACGAGGGGGUCGUCGGUUCAAAUCCGAUCAGCUCCA
rnacentral:tRNA from 1 species